rnacentral:rRNA from 1 species
CCCUUAGAUGCUCUGGGCCGCACGCGCGCUACACUGGUCGAUGCAACGAGUUUCUUUCCUUGGCCGACAGGCCUGGGCAAUCUUUGGACAUCGAUCGUGAUCGGGAUAGAUUCUUGUAAUUUUUGAUCUUAAACGAGGAAUUCCUAGUAAACGCAAGUCAUCAGCUUGCAUUGAUUACGUCCCUGCCCUUUGUACACACCGCCCGUCGCACCUACCGAUUGAAUGGUCCGGUGAAAUCUCCGGACUGGCGUGAGUCGGAGCAAUCUGACAAACACCGGAAAGUUGAUUAAACCUUACCAUUUAGAGGAAGGUGGAGUCGUAACA